AGAACGAACGCUGGCGGCAUGCCUAAUACAUGCAAGUCGAACGAACUCUUCGGAGUUAGUGGCGCACGGGUGCGUAACGCGUGGGAAUCUGCCCCUUGGUUCGGAAUAACAGUUGGAAACGACUGCUAAUACCGGAUGAUGACGAAAGUCCAAAGAUUUAUCGCCAAGGGAUGAGCCGCGUAGGAUUAGCUAGUUGGUGAGGUAAAGGCUCACCAAGGCAACGAUCCUUAGCUGGUCUGAGAGGAUGAUCAGCCACACUGGGACUGAGACACGGCCCAGACUCCUACGGGAGGCAGCAGUAGGGAAUAUUGGACAAUGGGCGAAAGCCUGGAUCCAGCAAUGCCGCGUGAGUGAUGAAGGCCUUAGGUUGUAAAGCUCUUUACCGAGAUGAUAAUGACAGUAAUCGGAAGAAUAAGACCCCGGCCUAAACGUCCGUGCCAGCAGCCGC
rnacentral:rRNA from 1 species